rnacentral:rRNA from 1 species
GAACGAGUUAUAGUCACCUUCGGCGAACGAUAACGGCGUCGAGCGGCGGACGGGUGAGUAAUGCCUAGGAAAUUGCCCUGAUGUGGGGGAUAACCAUUGGAAACGAUGGCUAAUACCGCAUAAUGCCUACGGGCCAAAGAGGGGCAGCUUCGGGCCUCUCGCGUCAGGAUAUGCCUAGGUGGGAUUAGCUAGUUGGUCAGGUAAGGGCUCACCAAGGCGACGAUCCCUAGCUGGUCUGAGAGGAUGAUCAGCCACACUGGAAGUGAGACACGGUCCAGACUCCUACGGGAGGCAGCAGUGGGGAAUAUUGCACAAUGGGCGCAAGCCUGAACGUGCCAUGCCGCGUGUGUGAAGAAGGCCUUCGGGUUGUAAAGCACUUUCAGUCGUGAGGA